AGCAGCCGCGGUAAUUCCAGAUCCAAUAGCGUAUAUUAAAGUUGUUGCAGUUAAAAAGCUCGUAGUUGAACUUCAGGCCUGGCUGGACGGUCCGCCUUCCGGGCGAGCACUGUCUGUGGUCGGGUCCUACCUUCUGGCGAAGCGUUAUGGCCUUAACCGGCUGUGGCGGGGAACCAGGACUUUUACUGUGAAAAAAUUAGAGUGUUCAAAGCAGGCAAUUCGCUUGGAUACAUUAGCAUGGAAUAAUGGAAUAGGACAAUGGUUCUAUUUGUUGGUUUCUAGGACUGUUGUAAUGAUUAAUAGGGAUAGUUGGGGGCAUUAGUAUUCAAUUGUCAGAGGUGAAAUUCUUGGAUUUAUUGAAGACUAACUACUGCGAAAGCAUUUGCCAAGGAUGUUUUCAUUAAUCAAGAACGAAAGUUAGGGGAUCGAAGACGAUCAGAUACCGUCGUAGUCUUAACCAUAAACUAUGCCGACUAGGAAUCGGGCGAUGUUGACAAAAUGACGCGCUCGGCA
rnacentral:rRNA from 1 species